AUGCAAGAUACCACUACAUACUGAAAAAUAUUAGACACGACGUCUGGUGAAUAACGUUAUCUGGUGAAUAACGCGAGUCGAGAGCAUCAACAACGCUCUCGUGUCGCAAAACGGAAAGUUAUUGCGAAACGAGGAAACGAUUAUAGAAAUGCAACGCGGCAAAAGUGUAUUAUUUCUUAUUAUGUUGCGCAAAACUGUAACAGAACAGACUUAACCGUGUAUCGUGAGUUCUCGUCAAGCAUUUCCCCAAGGAAAUGUACGUCUGCAUGACUCGCGCUGAGAAUAAAUCGUAAUUGUACUUCAUUUAACUCGCGAGUUGUUGAGUUGAAAGGGACGUGUAAUCGUGCUCAUCCUUCUUCACCACGUAAACUGGAAAUGUUUUAAACGUGACAGUUUGUCUUGCGAGACACGAUGGAAAAGUUGACGAUAUUGUUCGUUGCUUGCUAGCUUGUUAGUUUCGUCUUCGUCCGCUGUUGAUCAUUACUCGAACAACUGGAGGUUUAGGUUAGGUUCGAAAUGAAUGCAUGCUUUUUUUCAAAUAGACAAUAAAACGUUAAUUAAUUGUUAAUUUGCAUACGUGUUACAUAAGAUAUAUAAUUUAAAAAAUAACCGUAAAAUUAUGGAAGAGUAAUUUCAUCUUGUUAUUUGAAAAGAAAGUUUGUUGCUAGGUGUAAUUGAACAUACAAACCAAUGGCAAAUUAAUUAUGUAUUGUCUUCCUGGUUGUGUAACAAAAUUUUUUAGUAUUUAAUAAUUACUAUAAUUAUAAAAGAAAAUAAUAAUUGCGAAUAUUAUACUGAAGUUAAAAAAAUAGUUCGUUAUUACUUAUAAUUUUAUUAUUACUAUAUUACGUGUCGUUAAAUUCUUUCAUAGAGAACAGAAUUUGAUGAACAUGUAAAAAUGUAUGUUCAGAAAUUUCCAUUGCUAUUCCAUUCAUAUUAUAAAUUACCGUGUAUUACAAAUCCGAGUAAUUAAUUCGCAGAAUUUAUUAUCGGCAUUAAUCAAAAUCUACCGUUAUUACUUGGAAGUUGCGUGUCUGAGGUAAGUUUUUGCAGAAACUCAUUAGUACGUCGUGUUAUCGUUGAAACUUGAGUGCGUAAUAUAAAUUACUUAUUGUCGAGAGUGGCGAGUGGCAAGGAUACGCUUAAAGAGAUACGACCGUCUUGUUUAUGAUUCCUACGAGCAUUUUGUGUUUCGAAUAACACGCGAUAACGAUGGUCGAGAAUAAAACGAAACGUUGCUCAAAUGGGGAGGAAGAGGAAAAGACUUUCUCCGAGCGAGAAGAUCCUUAUUCGCUUUCCCUGAUGUAUCUGUCCAUGUUCCUGCUACCAAAUAUUCGCUAAGGACAACAAUGUUGAGAUACAUAAUCAUUGUUAUAUCUUUCCCUAAAAUAAGAAUAUUUUUAAAUUUUUAUUUGAAAAAAAUUACAAAAAAUCAUAAGUAAUCUGAACACAUUGUACAUACGAAUACUUAAGUAUUUCGCAUCGUUAAGAUCGAUAUUAUCGGACGAUAUGCGUCCUGCAACGCCUACCUGAUGCUCCAUUACGUACAUCAAUGUUAAGGUCGUCUCAUCCCCAGUUGCCGCGUAACGAAACGUAAUGGAAAUUGGUGAUCAUCAACCUGCAAUGUGGGUCAAGUUGAUGUCCGGUUUCGUGGAACUGGAAUACGAGCAUCAUGUCAAAGCUACGUGCUAUAUCGAAAAGUAGAACUAUCGAACACAUGAAAUACCUCUCUCUCCCUUUCAAAAUAUAAAGGAAAUAAUCGUGGAACACUCUCUAACCCGACAGCAAUGAGAAAACGAAUAUUUUUUUGUUGUGUUUGGUGGCGUUUUCCAACGCCAGAACAAAUCAACACGUCAGGUUACAUAACAACUAUUCACUAUAUUCUGAAAAAUAUGCUCGAUAGAUAUAUACACGCAUAUGGAAGACUUUCACGGAUGCUUUAUCGCGGUGAACGGACAGGUUUGUAUAGCUAAUUUGAAAUAGGAGAUUACCAUUAUCCGUUGAUAUUGAUGAUAAGAUCGAGUGUAUUUCAUAUUUGAAUUUACCGCCAUUUUUAAAUGACUUCACGAGUAUGUCUGAAAAUUGAACAGGUCGUUCUUUGAGAUGAAAUGGGAUGAAAAUCAAGAAUGAUGAAAUUAUAUUUUAUAUUAGUUUCGAUUUUCGAUAAUUAGAAAUUGACGAAAGUACCUCUGUGCGCGAGCAAGCCGCCAUAUUGGACUUGAUCACUAACCUCUACAAUAUGGAUCCCCGUCUUGUUACUUUCAAGAAGAUUACAAAGAAACGCAUUCUUGGAACAGUAUUUAAAAACGAUUAAUUUAUUUCCUUUGUAAUGUAAUUUUUCUUACGAGGUAUGUAUUCUUUUUAUGUCCAUAUUAGAAAAUUAUUUAAUUUCUAAUUAAUUUUACGUAUUAUCAUUUUUAUAUGCAAUUAUUUACGUAAUUCAAUUUUUUUUUCUUCGAGAAAUUGAAUGUUAAAUCAGGUAUUCAAAUAAUAAAAUUAAAAGUCUCACAAAAAGUUAAUCGGCUUCUGAUUUAAUCUUAAAUCACCAUUUGCCAAUGAUUUAGCCGAUUUUGCUCGCCCAAAGAUAAAAGAAUAAAAGUAUUCGGACCGGUCUACCGAUACGGAGGUAGGAUUGAUGACGAUCGAAGGCACUUUCCAUGAAAUUCCUCGAGUCGCCUCCCGCCAGGUUUCAUCAUCGUACGAAAGAAAUCGAAAACUAUCCGCGUCGAUGCAUUCUUCCAGAUAUCCAGAUUCCGGUUCUUGGCUGUCCUUAACAUUGAACGAGCUGGUCGUGUCCGACCUUACGUCGGAGAGGAUGUUUUGCAACUUCGAGAUUUCACUUUGAUACCCUGCAUUCUUGCUGGCCACUGGAAUCGUGUCCAUCGCUUUAAUCAGAGGGGACAUCCUUUAGAGAAAUGGAUUGAUAAUUAAAAAAUGACGUUGCUUUCGUCGAUAAUGUAAUUAAAAUUAGAGAGACACGAUUGAUUAUGGAUAGAAGAUGAAAAAAAAAAUGUGAAACUGACUUGAAUACUGGAUCUUGCACGAAAGAUAUCAUUUAUUUAAUUUAUUUUAUUUGCCAACGUGAAGAAUCAUCCUCGAGCAAAAUAGAACUCGAAAGUGUGAAGCCAUGAAGUAAGAUUCAUUCUCUUGACCAAUCCAUUUCGAAAUUUGAACGAUUGAAAUGAUCUCGCCACCUUAAUUCGUUCAUUUUCUCGCACCGUGACCCGCAUUCCAAUUUACAGAAAAUGAAUCGUGAAAGGGAAAGAGGAUCGCCUAAUUAAAAUCACGGCAACGUGCACGCCUUCGUUUCCGUAUCGUGGAAACACGAAUUUAAGGAGGCGUAGAUUCAUGAACGAUGACGCGGUUGGAAUAGAAAGCGUGCCGGGAGACGAGCCCGCGAUACAUCAACGUGCAACGUGAUGUUAGGAAGGGACGUGUUUAUCAAAAAAUCGGCGCCAUAUCGAGCGAGAAGAGUCUGUUACGAUCGAAAAGAGCGUAUUCCGUUUCUACGAUUCGGAUUCGCUUUUACAAAAUUGACUUUCUCUGGGGCACGGGUGUGUCCCCCCAAACCUAACGACGUGAUCGAGAUCGUUAUUGACGAUCCAUAUCCACGGAUCUGGGAUUGAAUUGGUAAUUAUAUCACUGUUGUUUGAAAAACAAACAAUUAUUCGUUUAUUCACAAGAAUGAGUUUAUCUUAAAUGAUUAUUCCUAUUGUUCUAAUUUUUUGUACGUUUCAUAUUAUGAUUAUUCAUAUUACAAUUGAUUUUGAUUAAAAAGAAUAUUCGUUUGUUUGUUUACAAUUAUUUGUAUUAUAAUUGAUUAAUUUGAUUUUAUGCUUUGGAUUAUUGUUACUGUUCUAUAUUCUUUGUAUUUUGUAAAUCAAGAUUAUACACAUUGCGAUUGAUUCUUUUUUCAA